UUCAAAAUCCAAAUACUAUAUUAGCUAGUAUUCGUUGGGCUUUGGUCAUCUUGCACCCCAAUGUGGAGAAGAUAUAGGUUCAAAAUCUGAUGAUUUUGGUGAAAUACUUGGAGAAGGGAAUGCCACGAAGAUGCUUCCUUGAUCACACACGUUAGGCUUGGCACAUUAGAAAAUUUGGAAGAUCUGGACACUGACAAUAAUCAAGAACACUGGUAACAAUCAAGCUGUCUUCAUGGCCAAAACAGAAACAACUCUUACCAUACAAUCUUGGGCCACCAAUGUUCUAUCCUUCCCUUAGACCCUUGCUGAAUUUUAUUUAUUAUUCUAUUGUGUCUUAAAACUGGCUAGGCAAGGAAAUGACAUGGGCUUGUAAGAGAUGAUCACAACUAUCUUCAAUGUUAUAAGGUCUGUCGGGUGAUAACAAAAGUAAGGCUAUGUUAAUGUAAGUUCAAAAUGGACAAUGUCGUAAUUAUUGCGAUAAGUUUGCGAUGUGGAGUGGCCGACCUUGUUUUCAGAAGGAGGAAAAUGGAAUUAUCACCAAUAAUAUAUAUUUUGAUUUAGAGGGCAUGAUGGGAGCCCAAAUGUAUGCUAAAAUGGUUGGCAAAUAAAGAUAGUGAAGUUGCUUCCUUUU